GCGGGUAUAGUAUAGUGGCUAUUAUGCUGCCUUGCCAAGGCAGAGAUAGGAGUUCGACUCUCCUUACCCGCA
rnacentral:tRNA from 1 species